CUCCAGCAUCCGCCUGGCACCUGACACCUCCCUGCUAGCCAGUCCCAGAGAGCUCUUUUCCUCCAGACUAGCUGGGGCUGGAACUGCUUAGAAUCGGACCCAGAAGAGGCCGAGUUCCGUCCAGGACUAAAGGCAGCCUCCAGGGAAUAAAGCUGUCAGUGUGGGCGCAGACUAGGGAAGGGGCACUAGGUCGUUCAAGCUGAAUGCUGGGGUUCCACAGCCUCCUCACACCCCCUUUAGUGCCUCAGGUAGAGUAGGCUUGUGGGGACACUGAGGUUUCCUCAGGUCCUUUCCCUGCUCAAUAACUCUCCAUGGCUCGCCACUACCCACUGCAUAAAGCCCUAACUCCUAUACCUGGCAUUUGGGAGCCUCUGUGAUUCCACUUCUUCAGUCUCUUCUCCUCCCUAAGCCCCCAUGCCCCAGCCACAGGGGCUACUUAGGUGCCCCUCCUGCUCCCCUUUCCCCUUGCACCCAAACCUUCUCUGCUCAUGUGCUAUUUCCUGGGGCCUUCUCUAGGGCUCAUUCCCUAGUUGGAGUUAAAUUCUGCUUCCAAGGAAUCAGCCACCCAAAUAACAAACCAGUCCACCUGAGAAUCUAGUCUGUGAUGCAGCGUCAAUAGCUUCUGAUGAAUUUGCUUCUGACCAGUAGCCUCCAGGGGUCAUAAAACAUUCACAGAGAGGAACACAGAGAAGGUAAUGGGGGUCUGUGUGUGGGCAGGUGGGGUGGGGUGGGUGAAGGAAAAGCUUUUUUUUGGCCACUGUGCUUUUUCCUCAAGCACCGCCCUACCAUGGGAUGGGGAUUUGACUGAACUUCUCACGUCAAGAAUGAGUACAGUUUACAUAGCUAAGCCUUUAUAAACAUCCACUUUCCCUCAGGCCUACCCAGGAAGGGUUUGUUAUAUCUAUUUUACAGAUGUGGGUCUUCAGGCUCAGAGAAGAGAAGGCAUUGUUUGCCCAUGAAUGUUUGCAAGUAAAUAGCAGAGCUGGGACUCAAAGAGUCCGGAUCUGGGGCUCCAUCAUGAAUCUCUAAGAGUGGCCCAGAGAUUCUCACGUUCCCUAGUCAUUCACCCACGUGCCUCAGCUGCAGAACCUGUCCUCAAGGUGCUCACAGGCUGAGGGAAGGCAGACAGAGGACAAGUGGCAACCUACAAAACACCAAAUGGGCUCCAUACUCAACCAAGGUGCCCCUCAGCCAGAACUGGACACAUUGCCAGAGAACUCCAGGGGUCAUCUGGUCGGCUCAGCCUCCCGGUUUCCGACAGACAGUCACCAUAGACUCACCUGAACUGUGAGAAGUAGAGGAAGGCGUC
rnacentral:lncRNA from 1 species